UGCUGAGAAGGUCACAGAGAUUACAUUGGGACUGCUUUAUCAUGUGGCCUAGUUCCUCCAAGCCAAGGCCAUGAGAUGGCAAUGGAAUAAUUGAUGGACUGCAAAUUGGCUGGAGAUAUACGAAUCAGGUCGUAUCUUGGUUAUCAUGUUCCAGAAAUAAAGCUACCACCUCCACCCGCGGCAAGUACCUAGGCCUUAAGUGUAAGACCAUUUUCAUAAUGGAGAAAUAAUUAAAUAAAGCAAAGAAUAAUGGAGAAAUAAUUAACGCAACAUUUUCAUAUUCUUAUUUUGGGCCGCCAAUGCCAGUGUCAACACAUAUCAAGUUUCUACUGAUCAUGAAAGAACUCUAUGAGCAAAUAGUUACCAACUGAACGUGAGUUAUUUAGAAGAUUGCAAGAACUAGCGGAGGAUGUAAAAAAGAACAAAAGACAAAGAAAGAUUCCAUGUCGGUUAGUGCGUUAAAUUAUUGAUGGAAUCAAAUAUGCACCGUCCUAUGUUGAGCAUAUAGGUAGCCAAACGGAUGUUCCAUCACUGUAACAACAUCCUCAGUGUAUCUAAAAGAUAAGAAAACUAUGUGUAAAUCCCUAUAACCAUAACCCUCGAUUGUCUUUUCUACUUACAGUUUGUGUGCUGGUUGGUGCCGGCAGAUAUCCAUGGCUAGGAACAGGCAUGGCGAAUGCUAAGAAGGUCACAGAGAUUACAUUGGGACUGCUUUAUCAUGUGGCCUAGUUCCUCCAAGCCAAGGCCAUGAGAUGGCAAUGGAAUAAUUGAUGGACUGCAAAUUGGCUGGAGAUAUACGAAUCAGGUCGUAUCUUGGUUAUCAUGUUCCAGAAAUAAAGCUACCACCUCCACCCGCGGCAAGUACCUAGGCCUUAAGUGUAAGACCAUUUUCAUAAUGGAGAAAUAAUUAAAUAAAGCAAAGAAUGAUGUCAGAUGAAUGGCAUUUGCUGUGUAUUUGACCUUUUUUGUGUGUAUU